rnacentral:rRNA from 1 species
AUGCACCAGACGAGGUGGCCGGACCUCCCGCCGGAACUGCUCCUCGAGGUCUCCUCCCGUCUGCACGUCCCCGCCGAUCUCGUCCGCUUCCACGCCGUGUGCAAGCCAUGGCGCGACUCACACGGACCAUCGACGACGACGGAGACUGGUCAGCUCCUGCCGUGGCUCCUGGCGCCCAGCAAGAAGGGCGAGGAUUCCCUCAACUUCAGAUGCGUCUUCUCCAACACAAGCUGCGUCCCGCCACCGCUGCCCAUAUCUGAUGGUUGUGGCACCGGGAUGAACUGGGUGGCCAGCGCCGAUGGCACUGCCGUUCGCUACAUCACUGCCUCCGGCCCCCACGGUCCAACCCUCCACGACCCUCUCGCCGGAGGGCCCCCCACCCACCUGCCAGACGAGAACGUCCACCGCCGGUUGGAGGAGAAUCCCACAGGCAUCAUCCACAGCGACGGCGCCGUCCUUCUGUUCAGCAAACACGACAGCAUCGACACAUCUACCGCCGAGUUCAGGGCGGUGCUCCUGCGUCCCGGUGACACCGAGUGGACGUUUAUCCACAGGACCCUCGAAUCCCCCUCCGACGGAGAGUUCUGCGUCGCCUAUCACAACGGCAAGAUCCAUGUGACCAUUGAGGACAGCCUCUGGCUCGUCGUGAGUGUGACAGGGGAGUCUACAGACGCAACCAACAGCGACGACGUACAGGUUCCUAGGCCACGGUCGAUGCCACGCCAGUGCGACGGCUACUUGUACGAGCGCAGCUAUGUGCUCGAGUCCCGCGGGGAGCUGCUGUGGGUGUCGGUGCACAUUUUGAUGUAUUACCCCGAUAAAGGUAAGAAUGGCGUCAAUGACCUCGUCGAUGCACUCUCGAUGUCCAUGCACACGCUUGAGGAGGUCACCAAGGAGCCGGAAAGUUGUUGUGGACGAGGAAGGAUGGCCGGAGCCUGGAGGACCGCGUGUUGUUCCUAG